rnacentral:rRNA from 1 species
GAUGAACGCUGGCGGCGUGCUUAACACAUGCAAGUCGAACGGAAAGGCUCCUGCUUGCAGGGGUACUCGAGUGGCGAACGGGUGAGUAACACGUGGGUGAUCUGCCCUGCACUUCGGGAUAAGCCUGGGAAACUGGGUCUAAUACCGGAUAGGACGAUGGUUUGGAUGCCAUUGUGGAAAGUUUUUCGGUGUGGGAUGAGCUCGCGGCCUAUCAGCUUGUUGGUGGGGUAAUGGCCUACCAAGGCGUCGACGGGUAGCCGGCCUGAGAGGGUGUACGGCCACAUUGGGACUGAGAUACGGCCCAGACUCCUACGGGAGGCAGCAGUGGGGAAUAUUGCACAAUGGGCGCAAGCCUGAUGCAGCGACGCCGCGUGGGGGAUGACGGCCUUCGGGUUGAAAACUCCUUUCGCUAGGGACGAAGCGCAAGUGACGGUACCUGGAGAAGAAGCACCGGCUAACUACGUG